ensembl:lncRNA
CAGGGUGUUACGGUACAGAGUCAAUGUGGAGGCUAUAUACAGAGUGUUACGGUACAGAGUCAGUGUGGAGGCUAUAUACAGGGUGUUACGGUACAGAUUCAAUGUGGAGGCUAUAUACAGGGUGUUACGGUACAGAGUCAAUGUGGAGGCUAUAUACAGGGUGUUACGGUACAGAGUCAAUGUGGAGGCUAUAUACAGGGUGUACCGGUACAGAGUCAAUGUGGAGGCUGUAUACAGGGUGUUACGGUACAGAGUCAAUGUGGAGGCAAUAUACAGGGUGUUACGGUACAGAGUCAAUGUGGAGGCUAUAUACAGGGUGUUACGGUACAGAGUCAAUGUGGAGGCUAUAUACAGGGUGUACCGGUACAGAGUCAAUGUGGAGGCUAUAUACAGGGGUACCGGUAGAGAGUCAAUGUGGAGGCUAAAUAUAGGGGGUACCGGUACAGAGUCAAUGUGGAGGCUAUAUACAGGGGGAACCGGUACAGAGUCAAUAUGGAGGCUAUAUACAGG